UACGGGGGGGCAAGCGUUGUUCGGAAUUACUGGGCGUAAAGGGCUCGUAGGCGGCCAACUAAGUCAGACGUGAAAUCCCUCGGCUUAACCGGGGAACUGCGUCUGAUACUGGAUGGCUUGAGUUUGGGAGAGGAUGCGGAAUUCCAGGUGUAGCGGUGAAAUGCGUAGAUAAUCUGGAGGAACACCGGUGGCGAAGGCGGCAUCCUGGACCAACACUGACGCUGAGUGAGCGAAAGCCAGGGAGGCAAACGGG
rnacentral:rRNA from 1 species